CAGCCGCCGCGGUAACACGAAGGGGGCUAGCGUUGUUCGGAAUUACUGGGCGUAAAGGGAGCGUAGGCGGAUUGUUUAGUUAGGCGUGAAAUUCCUGGGCUUAACCUGGGGACUGCGCUUAAUACAGGCAGUCUAGAGUGAGGAAGAGGGUUGUGGAAUUCCCAGUGUAGAGGUGAAAUUCGUAGAUAUUGGGAAGAACACCGGUGGCGAAAGCGGCGACCUGGUCCUUGACUGACGCUGAGGCGCGAAAGCGUGGGGAGCAAACAGGAUUAGAUACCCCUGUAGUCCCUGUCUCUUAUAC
rnacentral:rRNA from 1 species